CAAAACAAUCUGUGAUUCGACACAACAGGGUGGAAACAUGCUCCUUAGUGCUGUUUGUGUGUUAUUCCACCGUAAAACAUUAGACAGUGGAACGUCUGUCUGGUGUCACAGCAGUGCACAAAAUCAGCAGCACAAAAGACAAAGAACAACAACACGAACAACCAUAAAAAGAGAGCGAAGCCUGCGAAUCGAGGCUGCAGUAAUGGCGGAGCGAGAGAUCCUCCUGACGGUGGGAGUCACCUCCACCUGCAGUACCUUCUUCCCUCGAGAACCAUCUGGAGCGCUGUCUGGCAAGGAGUUCUUCAUUGCGUUCCCCAACUGAUGAAGGAGGAGGGGGGUGGGGUGAUAAGGGUAGGAGAUAUUGAUACUGCAUCACUGCAAAUUACCCCUGGUAAUGGCAGCCAACAAGCCGAGCAAACACAGAGGAGGGGAACUGGGAGGAUCUGAAAUCUCACUCUUUGAUCAGUGUUAGUGUUACACUCAUGCACAGGAGGCCGAACUGUACACCGUGUUCAGUUGCUUGUAUGUUAACAAUGUAGAUGCACGUGUGGCUGCUCUUCGGUCUUUUCCUGCCACACCUCAGCUUUCUGUAGCGGUGUAAUGGGACAUUACAUGCACAGGAGUCUCAUUUGUCCCGCAUUAUCCAUGACUCCGUACUGAAUCCGUAGCACUAAUGAGCACUAGCACUUGCUCCAGCUUUCAUGUUUAAUUAUCUAACUUGUACUGAUGUACUGAAAUGAAAACUUGAGCAUCGAGCCUUGAAUUUAUUUAUCAGCAUUUAUUUCAUUUAUUGGGGUUUUAAAACCAUUGCAUAAUUAAUAGGAAUGAUAGUCAGCGAGACCGGAUUUCAAAACUACAAGAAACCUGUUGUAGUCUGGAAAAUAAAUAAAUAAAUAAAUAAAUAAAUAAAUAUAAAACUUUUUUUUUUCUCAAAUCAGUAUCCAGUCCAUUAGGCUAUUAAACUGUUUUCAAUCUAAGCAAGUCAUGAACUGCUCUGCUUUUUAUAUAUCCGAUUAAUGAAUUUCAUUUUAAAUACACAGUUUUUAGUGCGUCACAGUUUGAACACAUUAUCAAGAACAACAAAAACAGUGAGGUCUAAAUAUGCAUAUAGAGUAUCUGAUGAAAUAUUCAGCUUCAUUACUCACUCAUCCUGGGACAACCUUUGAUAUUCUCUGUUUUUACUGAACUGACAUACCAACAUGCU